rnacentral:rRNA from 1 species
GACGAACGCUGGCGGCGUGCUUAACACAUGCAAGUCGAACGGAAAGGCCCUGCUUGCCGGGUACUCGAGUGGCGAACGGGUGAGUAACACGUGGGUGAUCUGCCCUGCACUUCGGGAUAAGCCUGGGAAACUGGGUCUAAUACCGGAUAGGAGCCAUUUUUAGUGUGAUGGUUGGAAAGUUUUUUCGGUGUAGGAUGAGCUCGCGGCCUAUCAGCUUGUUGGUGGGGUAAUGGCCUACCAAGGCGGCGACGGGUAGCCGGCCUGAGAGGGUGGACGGCCACAUUGGGACUGAGAUACGGCCCAGACUCCUACGGGAGGCAGCAGUGGGGAAUAUUGCACAAUGGGCGCAAGCCUGAUGCAGCGACGCCGCGUGGGGGAUGACGGCCUUCGGGUUGUAAACUCCUUUCGCUAGGGACGAAGCUUUUUGUGACGGUACCUAGAUAAGAAGCACCGGCUAACUACGUGC